rnacentral:lncRNA from 1 species
AUUUCAAACACAAUGAAUGAGAAAAAAAUAAACUGCCCACUGCCAUCUUCAGGACUUACUCCUUCCAGUUAAAAAUGUUGGUCCAAAGAAAAGAGGAAAAAAAAAAAAAAGAAUAGAUUGUAUUUAUGCUGUGUUGUCGGUCAGACAACACACAUGUGCUAUGUAAUCUACGGUUUCCUAGGACUUGUGUGUUGAGGAAAAGAUGGUGGCAGAAUGAGAAUUACAGACCAAGGAAAAGCAAAAGUGUGAAGGCCUUGAGCGAGGAGGAGCAUGAAACUUCAGAAAUGAAACGCAACAUAUUCACAGUUGAGAAAGGGACUUUUAGGAUACAGACAACUUUGGAGGGCCAUUAUUCUGCCUGCCACAGAGAUAUCAUCCAUAAGUGACUCGUCUCUAAAAAUUAAAGAUAGAAAAUGGAGUUGAUGCAGGAAAAAUAAGAAAUCGAUGUCAUGGAUAAAGACGACUUCUCCUGGUCUCGUUUCUCUAAGCAAAACAACUCAGUAGCUCAAGAGACUAGGUAAG